GCGAGCUCCCAGCCUCCCCCUCACUUGUCUCCAAGUCAGCCCAGCCAGCGGUUUGUUUAAACAAAACAAUAGCAACCUAAGCUGGCUCUUUCUUUUCAGUUCCCCACAGGCUUGGGUCCCACCCAGAGUGAUAAACGGCCUCUCUCCUCUGAGGGCCUGCUAGCUGCCAAGUGGCAAGGGAUCCAGGAAAAGGCACAGGAUUGCAGAAGUGCUCCCGAGCAAUCUGUGUAUUCUGCAAUUAAGAAGGGGUAAGUAAAUGGAACGCACUGACAGCUCCCAGGCUCUGAGGUCUCCAGGGGCCACAGCUGCCAGGCCGC
rnacentral:lncRNA from 1 species